rnacentral:rRNA from 1 species
UGGGGAAUAUUGGACAGUGGGCGAAAGCCUGAUCCAGCCAUGCCGCGUGUGUGAAGAAGGUCUUCGGAUUGUAAAGCACUUUAAGUUGGGAGGAAGGGCAUUAACCUAAUACGUUAGUGUUUUGACGUUACCGACAGAAUAAGCACCGGCUAACUCUGUGCCAGCAGCCGCGGUAAUACAGAGGGUGCAAGCGUUAAUCGGAAUUACUGGGCGUAAAGCGCGCGUAGGUGGUUUGUUAAGUUGGAUGUGAAAUCCCCGGGCUCAACCUGGGAACUGCAUUCAAAACUGACUGACUAGAGUAUGGUAGAGGGUGGUGGAAUUUCCUGUGUAGCGGUGAAAUGCGUAGAUAUAGGAAGGAACACCAGUGGCGAAGGCGACCACCUGGACUAAUACUGACACUGAGGUGCGAAAGCGUGGGGAGCAAACA